rnacentral:rRNA from 1 species
UACAGGGGGUGCAAACGUUGCUCGGAAUCAUUGGGCGUAAAGCGCACGUAGGCGGUCUGUUAUGUCGGAUGUGAAAGCCCUUGGCUCAACUGAGGAAGUGCAUCCGAAACUGGCAGGCUAGAGUACUAAAGAGGGUCGCGGAAUUCCCGGUGUAGAGGUGAAAUUCGUAGAUAUCUGGAGGAACACCGGUGGCGAAGGCGGCAUCCUGGACCAACACUGACGCUGAGUGAGCGAAAGCCAGGGGAGCAAACGGG